rnacentral:rRNA from 1 species
UUGAACUGAAGAGUUUGAUCCUGGCUCAGAUUGAACGCUGGCGGCAUGCCUUACACAUGCAAGUCGGACGGCAGCGCGGGCUUCGGCCUGGCGGCGAGUGGCGAACGGGUGAGUAAGACAUCGGAACGUGUCCUGGAGUGGGGGAUAGCCCGGCGAAAGCCGGAUUAAUACCGCAUACGCUCUGUGGAGGAAAGCGGGGGAUCGAAAGACCUCGCGCUCAAGGGGCGGCCGAUGGCAGAUUAGCUAGUUGGUGGGGUAAAGGCCUACCAAGGCGACGAUCUGUAG